ACGCUGGCGGCGUGCCUAAUACAUGCAAGUAGAACGCUGAAGCUUGGUGCUUGCACCGAGCGGAUGAGUUGCGAACGGGUGAGUAACGCGUAGGUAACCUGCCUCUUAGCGGGGGAUAACUAUUGGAAACGAUAGCUAAUACCGCAUAAAAGUUGAUAUCGCAUGAUGUUGACUUGAAAGGUGCAAUUGCAUCACUAAGAGAUGGACCUGCGUUGUAUUAGCUAGUUGGUGAGGUAACGGCUCACCAAGGCGACGAUACAUAGCCGACCUGAGAGGGUGAUCGGCCACACUGGGACUGAGACACGGCCCAGACUCCUACGGGAGGCAGCAGUAGGGAAUCUUCGGCAAUGGGGGCAACCCUGACCGAGCAACGCCGCGUGAGUGAAGAAGGUUUUCGGAUCGUAAAGCUCUGUUGUAAGAGAAGAACGAGUGUGAGAGUGGAAAGUUCACACUGUGACGGUAACUUACCAGAAAGGGUCGGCUAACUACGUGCCAGCAGCCGCGGUAAUACGUAGGUCCCGAGCGUUAUCCGGAUUUAUUGGGCGUAAAGCGAGCGCAGGCGGUUAGAUAAGUCUGAAGUUAAAGGCUGUGGCUUAACCAUAGUACGCUUUGGAAACUGUUUAACUUGAGUGCAGAAGGGGAGAGUGGAAUUCCAUGUGUAGCGGUGAAAUGCGUAGAUAUAUGGAGGAACACCGGUGGCGAAAGCGGCUCUCUGGUCUGUAACUGACGCUGAGGCUCGAAAGCGUGGGGAGCAAACAGGAUUAGAUACCCUGGUAGUCCACGCCGUAAACGAUGAGUGCUAGGUGUUGGGUCCUUUCCGGGACUCAGUGCCGCAGCUAACGCAUUAAGCACUCCGCCUGGGGAGUACGACCGCAAGGUUGAAACUCAAAGGAAUUGACGGGGGCCCGCACAAGCGGUGG
rnacentral:rRNA from 1 species